ACGGUUGACGCUCUUUGGUUAAGCGUUUGUUACUGGCCAAUUUUGAUCGAGCAUCCGCUUCCGCCCUGCAUCAGCAACAAACAGCGCAAACAGAAAACAAACCACGCGCGCCACUCUCUAAAAUAAAAGCUCUCAUUUUUGAGUAGCGCUCAUGCCGCACAGGGACUGUGUUGGAAACACGCAUUUUUUUAAAUUGCUCGUACGCUCACAUUUUAGCAAAUUAUCAAUAUUUUUCGGUAUUUGAAGGUGGUUUAUAAACCCAGUGAGGUUGCCAUGUCGAAAUUAUUGCAAAAUACAUGCUCAUGUGAGCGUGCGAGCAAUUUUAAAAAAAUGUGUGUUUCCAACACAGUCAUGUGCGGCAUGGAUGUUUACUAAAAAUGUGCAGGCCGAACACAUUUUUGAGCGUAGCCGGUUUCCUUCAUUUCCUUGUGUGAAGCCGAGCGAGCGAGCAACAGUGAAGUUUUUGCAAUCGUUCCGUGAUAUUGACCAGUAGUGUGGUUGGCGAUUAAAAUGGACAAAAAUCCCAAAGCACAAGUUAUUGCGAAAUUCUGGGAUCGGAUGGAAGAGACAAUUGGCUAUGUACCUGUGAAUGUGAUGCGCGUCGUCAAUUUCCUUGGACUCUCGGCUACCAGUUUGCUCGGCGACAUCACCUCUUAUGAUGUUGCACGCCUGGAAGCCUCGUUAUGCUGGAAUAGAGACGAGCUCUGGACGCACAGCGCUAAAAUUAAUUACUACAGAGAUGAUUGUUUUGGUAUGGGUGAGGAUUUCCGUUCGUUUGAAUUUUCGUUUGUGGAGAGAAAGUGCGUCUUAGCGAUAGCUCGCGCUGUAAAGCUGUACGGUCUUCACUACUUCAUUGACGAGCGUAAAGCCAUUGGCUUCAAGUAGCAGUAGGGUGAAAAUUGCAAGGAAAAUACUGAGAAACACGCUAGUCGGGUUAAAUUUUAGAAUUCUCGACAUUGAAUUUUCAUACGGACUUAUGCUCCAAAUGCUUACUGAGUUGUAUAUGAGAGAAGUUCCUAAAUGUUGGCAAAUAAAGACAAAAUGAUAAAUAGCUUCACUGUUUUUCUCUUUGCUUGGAAUAACGGCCCCAAUGCAACGCGUCGUUGUCACAUUAAUAUCAUGUAGAAUACAUUUUUGGAUGACAAGAGUAGUGCAGAAUGUUAUAAAAAAUAUGCCAAAUUUCAACUUUGAAAAUUGAGUAUUGAUGAUACGGGGCCCGUAGAAUGUGUCAUAUGCCUUUUUCUAGAAUCUUUAUAUUUAACUUCAUGCAGAAUAGCCCGAUCUUUUUCAAAUUUUGUCCACUGAUACACAACUAGUUGAUCCACUUACAGUAAAAAUUUGAGAAUACUUUAUAAUUUUUUAGAAAAGUUACAGCUAUUUGAAUAUUUUUUGAGAAGGGAAAAUUUUACCUGUCCCGAUCAUUUUGUCUAUCCCCUGUACCGUGAGGUCGCCAUUCACCACUCAUUUUGGGUCAAUCAUACAAAAAUGGUCAAAUGUGGUAAAGUGUCGUAACAAAAGAGAAUGUAAUAUGCUGCCACAUUUGAAAACUUUCAUUUCACCAUGUUUUUAUAUGGGUGUACCUGAAAUCACGUUCUCAAAAAAUAUUUCUCUCACUGCGCUGCAGGACAACAUGGGAACUGUUCAGGGCAAACAGCGGAAAAAAUAUCCAACAGGUAAAACCCGUUAAAGAUUUCAUUUUGACAAAACAUGAUGAACUGGGCCCUGUAGCAUAAUCGGGCUAAUAAUAUUAGCUACAAGUUACAAGUACUAAUAUUACAAGUGCUAAUAAUUUGUGUUGCAUAAAGGCUCGAUUUUCCACUAAUAUUAUUAGCGCUUGUAAUAUUAGUGACCAUGAAAAUACAAGUUGUUUUGGUUUAUUUACCUGUCAAAAUUCAUCCGACAGUUCACUAUUAAUUUGAAAUGGCAAUUGUUGUUUAUUUAUUUCCUGCAUUUUUUUCGAAAAGCAUCCGGAAAAAAAAUGAAAAAAAGUUAACAGAAUGUUCGUUAAAAAUAAUUUCGUAGAUUCGGAAGUUUUGCAAUCUCUAUACUGCCUAUUAUCGCAUAUCAAUCCCAUAUUUGCUGGGUUUCUUAUUCAUAUGGGACAGUUAUGCGAUCAUAGGCAGUAUACGAUACAUGAAGAAAAGCAUGUGCUAUUUGGAUCAUUUUCGGCCGCUCUAACGAAAUAUUUUUUUUAUUAAGUAUGGUAUUUCAAUAACCAAAAUAAAGUAACACAUUUUUUAUUUAAUUUUACUAUUAUAGAUAUUAGGGGGAUUAGGGGCAUAAUGGACACCCGGGGCGAAAUGGACACCCCUGUUUUUGCCGAAACCGUUGACUUUUAUGUAAAACUUUCAAUGCAUAAGUGUAAAGGAACAAGUCAUUGUUCUAUUUUUCAAAAGUACUAUUUAUAUUCCUUCGAAAUAACCAAAAUAUCAUUGAAAUUGAAGUAUGAUUUUCAUAUGGUGGAUUUCUUAUAAUUUCGAAGCAGCAGCAAAUAAGGUAUUACGAGUGAUUGAGUGUGCCCACUAGUAUGGGACAAACAUGAAAUUCUCGCUCCAGUCGACUUUUUUGAUUCCAUUUAGGUCCCAUAUGAACUGUACAAAAUUUCAGCGCAAUCGGUGAAACUAUAAUUUAGCGCAAGCGGUUCAAAGUUUUCAUAGGAUUUACUAUGGGGAAAGUUACACUUUCAGAUAAAAAAUCCCAGAGGUCGUCCCUUGUCCCCUUAAUUCAAAUCGAUCAAUGCUUCUUGUAGAAAAAUCAUUUAUGAAACUUUCCUUCGAAGACCGCCAAACGAUUGGAUGCUUGUGGAAAAAGUUAUUGAUUUAUUACCGAUUAGUGAUCGAACGAACGGCUUUUUGUUUUAUUUUAUUAGCAGCACUGUAGCUGCUGCCUUGGCUGCUGCUGUUUCUGGGGGUGGUGAUGCCUCCCGCCACCCCAUGCAACAACGGCAGCAGCAGUGCUGCUGAUAAAACAAAACAAAAAGCCCUUCGCUGGAUCACUAAUAGGUAAUAAAUCAAUAACUUUUUCCACAAGCAUUCAAUCGUUUUGCGGUCUUCGAAGGAAAGUUUCGUAAAUGUUAUUUCUACGAGAAGCAUUGAUCGAUUUGAAUUAAGGAGACAAAGGGCGACCUCCGGGAUUUUUUGUUUGAAAGUGUAACUUUUCCCAUAGUAAAUCCUAUGCAAACUUUGAACCGCUUGCGCUAAAUUAUAGUUUCACCGAUUGCGCUGAAAUUUUGUACAGUUCAUAUGGGGCCUAAAUGUGAUCUAAAAAGUCGACUGGAGCGAGGAUUUAUUUUUUUCAUACAAGCGUGUCCCACACUAGUGCCCACUACAAAACAAGUGAAUUGUUAGCUUAUCUACAUGUAUACGUAGAUUUAGCAAUGGAUAAAGUAUUAUAUUUUUGAUCAGAACUUACUGAAAAUAGCAAUGUUAGUGUUGUAGUCUAUUCGGGGCAAAAUGAACACUGGCAAUUAUAAAUGGAUGUACGCGCGUUGCAUACUGUUAGGCGUUUUAGAGAGUUUGAAAAAAUCAAUCUGAUUAUUUUAGCCCAAAAUUUAUUCAAUUAACUUUGAAGUUAUGUAAACUCGUCCAAGAUAGAGUAUUAUAUCUGUGGUAUUGAUCUCCGUUGGCAAGUUACUUAACUGAUCGAUAUUCUCAAAGAUACAGCUUAAAAUAUGCAGGGGUGUCCAUUAUGCCCCGAUGGGUGUCCAUUUCACCCCGUACCUUUCCUGCCAGCCCCAAAAAACACACGGUUUUCAAUUCAUUAUUUCUUCACAAUAAUGACAUUCUAUCAGCUGUAAAUGAUUGAAAUACGUAGAAAACAAGUUAAAGUUGUAAGCCAACUGAUAAUAUGUUAAGUAUUUGUCUGUUAUACAGGCCUAACAUACGCAUUUGCUUAGGGUGUCCAUUAUGCCCCUAAUCCCCCUACAAGUUGUUUUAUUAUGGCAUUUUCAUAGACAAAUAAACGACUAAAGCGUCAAAAACAAUAAACAUAUAAAUGACAAAUAUACAUACACAAAACAUGGAACAGCACUAGUGAAUAUGCUGAACAAAGUAUCGAGAUUUUUAAUAAAAUGUCCCAAAGAUUCCAUUGAAAAACAAUGGAUAAAGAUUUA